GGCCACCCGUAGACUACGGGUUUGAUAGGCGGCAGGUGUACGCCGAGCAAUCGGCUUAGCUAAGCCGUACUAAUGGCCGAGGACUUGUCUAU
rnacentral:rRNA from 1 species